rnacentral:rRNA from 1 species
UAGGGAAUCUUCGGCAAUGGGGGGAACCCUGACCGAGCAACGCCGCGUGAGUGAAGAAGGUUUUAGGAUCGUAAAGCUCUGUUGUUAAGGAAGAACGAGUGUGAGAAUGGAAAGUUCAUACUGUGACGGUACUUAACCAGAAAGGGACGGCUAACUACGUGCCAGCAGCCGCGGUAAUACGUAGGUCCCGAGCGUUGUCCGGAUUUAUUGGGCGUAAAGCGAGCGCAGGCGGUUAGAUAAGUCUGAAGUUAAAGGCAGUGGCUCAACCAUUGUAGGCUUUGGAAACUGUUUAACUUGAGUGCAGAAGGGGAGAGUGGAGUUCCAUGUGUAGCGGUGAAAUGCGUAGAUAUAUGGAGGAACACCAGUGGCGAAGGCGACUCUCUGGUCUGUAACUGACGCUGAGGUUCGAAAGCGUGCGUAGCAAACAGG